rnacentral:ribozyme from 1 species
UUUUUUUUUUUUUUUUUUUUUUUUUUUUUUUUGCACUCAGGUCGCAUUCUUAAAGAAA